ACCGCGAGGUAGGAGCAAAUCUCAAAAAAACAAUCUCAGUUCAGACUGCAGGCUGCAACUCGCCUGCACGAAGUCGGAAUUGCUAGUAAUCGUAGGUCAGCAUACUACGGUGAAUACGUUCCCGGGCCUUGUACACACCGCCCGUCACACCAUGAGAGUUGGGAAUACCCGAAGCCUGUGAGCUAACUAAUAGAGGCAGCAGUCGAAGGUAGAAUCAAUGAUUGGGGUGAAGUCGUAACAAGGUAGC
rnacentral:rRNA from 1 species